GAUGAACGCUAGCGGCAGGCCUAACACAUGCAAGUCGAGGGGUAACAGAGAGAAGCUUGCUUCUUUGCUGACGACCGGCGCACGGGUGCGUAACGCGUAUGCAACCUACCUUUUACAGGGGGAUAGCCCAGAGAAAUUUGGAUUAAUACCCCAUAGUACUUUUAGUAGCAUUACUAGAUAGUUAAAACUUCGGUGGUAAAAGAUGGGCAUGCGUUUUAUUAGUUAGUUGGUAAGGUAACGGCUUACCAAGACUACGAUAAAUAGGGGUCCUGAGAGGGAGAUCCCUCACACUGGUACUGAGACACGGACCAGACUCCUACGGGAGGCAGCAGUGAGGAAUAUUGGACAAUGGGCGAGAGCCUGAUCCAGCCAUGCCGCGUGCAGGAAGACGGUCCUAUGGAUUGUAAACUGCUUUUAUACAGGAAGAAACCUAUCUACGUGUAGAUAGCUGACGGUACUGUAAGAAUAAGGACCGGCUAACUCCGUGCCAGCCGCCGCAGUAAC
rnacentral:rRNA from 1 species